UACGUAGGGUGCGAGCGUUAAUCGGAAUUACUGGGCGUAAAGCGUGCGCAGGCGGUUCGUUAAGUCAGAUGUGAAAGCCCCGGGCUCAACCUGGGAACUGCAUUUGAAACUGGCGGGCUUGAGUAUGGCAGAGGGGGGUAGAAUUCCACGUGUAGCAGUGAAAUGCGUAGAGAUGGGGAGGAACACCGGUGGCGAAGGCGGCCACCUGGACGGUCACUGACGCUGAGACGCGAAAGCGUGGGGAGCAAACAGG
rnacentral:rRNA from 1 species